CCCUUAGAUGUUCUGGGCCGCACGCGCGCUACACUGACGAAUGCAACGAGCUUAUAACCUUGGCCGAAAGGUCUGGGUAAUCUCCAAAUUUCGUCGUGAUGGGGAUAGAUUAUUGCAAUUAUUAAUCUUCAACGAGGAAUGCCUAGUAAGCGCAAGUCAUCAGCUUGCGUUGAUUACGUCCCUGCCCUUUGUACACACCGCCCGUCGCUCCUACCGAUUGAAUGGUCCGGUGAAGCGUUCGGACCGUGGCCUUUGGACGGUUCGCCGUCUGUUGGCUGCGGGAAGUUCGUUAAACCUUAUCAUUUAGAGGCAGGAGAANUCGUANCA
rnacentral:rRNA from 1 species